rnacentral:rRNA from 1 species
GACGAACGCUGGCGGCGUGCUUAACACAUGCAAGUCGAACGGAAAGGCCCUGCUUUUGUGGGGUGCUCGAGUGGCGAACGGGUGAGUAACACGUGAGUAACCUGCCCUUGACUUUGGGAUAACUUCAGGAAACUGGGGCUAAUACCGGAUAGGAGCUCCUGCUGCAUGGUGGGGGUUGGAAAGUUUCGGCGGUUGGGGAUGGACUCGCGGCUUAUCCGCUUGUUGGUGGGGUAGUGGCUUACCAAGGCUUUGACGGGUAGCCGGCCUGAGCGGGUGACCGGCCACCUUGGGACUGAGAUACGGCCCAGACUCCUACGGGAGGCAGCAGUGGGGAAUAUUGCACAAUGGGCGGAAGCCUGAUGCAGCAACGCCGCGUGCGGGAUGACGGCCUUCGGGUUGUAAACCGCUUUCGCCUGUGACGAAGCGUGAGUGACGGUAAUGGGUAAAGAAGCCCCGGCUAACUACGUG